GAACGCUAGCGACAGGCUUAACACAUGCAAGUCGAGGGGCAGCACAGGUAGCAAUACCGGGUGGCGACCGGCGCACGGGUGAGUAACGCGUAUGCAACUUACCUAUCAGAGGGGGAUAACCCGGCGAAAGUCGGACUAAUACCGCAUGAAGCAGGGGCCCCGCAUGGGGAUAUUUGCUAAAGAUUCAUCGCUGAUAGAUAGGCAUGCGUUCCAUUAGGCAGUUGGCGGGGUAACGGCCCACCAAACCGACGAUGGAUAGGGGUUCUGAGAGGAAGGUCCCCCACAUUGGUACUGAGACACGGACCAAACUCCUACGGGAGGCAGCAGUGAGGAAUAUUGGUCAAUGGCCGAGAGGCUGAACCAGCCAAGUCGCGUGAGGGAUGAAGGUUCUAUGGAUCGUAAACCUCUUUUAUAAGGGAAUAAAGUGCGGGACGUGUCCCGUUUUGUAUGUACCUUAUGAAUAAGGAUCGGCUAACUCCGUGCCAGCAGCCGCGGUAAUACGGAGGAUCCGAGCGUUAUCCGGAUUUAUUGGGUUUAAAGGGUGCGUAGGCGGCCUUUUAAGUCAGCGGUGAAAGUCUGUGGCUCAACCAUAGAAUUGCCGUUGAAACUGGGGGGCUUGAGUAUGUUUGAGGCAGGCGGAAUGCGUGGUGUAGCGGUGAAAUGCAUAGAUAUCACGCAGAACCCCGAUUGCGAAGGCAGCCUGCCAAGCCAUGACUGACGCUGAUGCACGAAAGCGUGGGGAUCAAACAGGAUUAGAUACCCUGGUAGUCCACGCAGUAAACGAUGAUCACUAGCUGUUUGCGAUACACUGUAAGCGGCACAGCGAAAGCGUUAAGUGAUCCACCUGGGGAGUACGCCGGCAACGGUGAAACUCAAAGGAAUUGACGGGGGCCCGCACAAGCGGAGGAACAUGUGGUUUAAUUCGAUGAUACGCGAGGAACCUUACCCGGGUUUGAACGCAUUCGGACCGAGGUGGAAACACCUUUUCUAGCAAUAGCCGUUUGCGAGGUGCUGCAUGGUUGUCGUCAGCUCGUGCCGUGAGGUGUCGGCUUAAGUGCCAUAACGAGCGCAACCCUUGCCACUAGUUACUAACAGGUAAAGCUGAGGACUCUGGUGGGACUGCCAGCGUAAGCUGCGAGGAAGGCGGGGAUGACGUCAAAUCAGCACGGCCCUUACAUCCGGGGCGACACACGUGUUACAAUGGCGUGGACAAAGGGAAGCCACCUGGCGACAGGGAGCGAAUCCCCAAACCACGUCUCAGUUCGGAUCGGAGUCUGCAACCCGACUCCGUGAAGCUGGAUUCGCUAGUAAUCGCGCAUCAGCCAUGGCGCGGUGAAUACGUUCCCGGGCCUUGUACACACCGCCCGUCAAGCCAUGGGAGCCGGGGGUACCUGAAGUCCGUAACCGCGAGGAUCGGCCUAGGGUAAAACUGGUGACUGG
rnacentral:rRNA from 1 species